rnacentral:rRNA from 1 species
GACGAACGCUGGCGGCGUGCCUAAUACAUGCAAGUAGAACGCUGAAGGAGGAGCUUGCUUCUCUGGAUGAGUUGCGAACGGGUGAGUAACGCGUAGUAACCUGCCUGGUAGCGGGGGAUAACUAUUGGAAACGAUAGCUAAUACCGCAUAAGAGUAGAUGUUGCAUGACAUUUGCUUAAAAGGUGCAAUUGCAUCACUACCAGAUGGACCUGCGCUGUAUUAGCUAGUUGGUGGGGUAACGGCUUACCAAGGCGACGAUACAUAGCCGACCUGAGAGGGUGAUCGGCCACACUGGGACUGAGACACGGCCCAGAAUCCUACGGGAGGCAGCAGUAGGGAAUCUUCGGCAAUGGACGGAAGUCUGACCGAGGAACGCCGGGGGAGUGAAGGAGGUUUUCGGAUCGUAAAGCUCUGUUGUAAGAGAAGAACGAGUGUGAGAGUGGAAAGUUCACACUGUGACGGUAUCUUACCAGAAAGGGACGGCUAACUACGUG